rnacentral:rRNA from 1 species
UACGAAGGGAGCUAGCGUUGUUCGGAAUUACUGGGCGUAAAGCGCGCGUAGGUGGCUUUUCAAGUCAGAGGUGAAAUCCCCAGGCUCAACCUGGGAAUUGCCUUUGAAACUGUUAAGCUUGAGUACUGGAGGGGAUGGUGGAAUUUCUAAUGUAGCGGUGAAAUGCGUAGAGAUUGGGAAGAACACCAGUGGCGAAGGCGGCUAUCUGGACGGUUUCUGACGCUAAGACGCGAAAGCGUGGGGAGCAAACAGG